AAACAUGUCUUUUUGAUUUAAUUAAUUUAAAGUCUAAUCUGGCCCACUGAUUUAUUGAUUAAAGGGCUGCAGUAAUUUGACUGUACAAAGGUAGCAUAAUCAUUAGUCUUUUAAUUGGAGACUUGUAUGAAAGAUUUGAUGAAAUAUAAACUGUCUCUAAUUUAUUAUUAUUAGAAUUUAAUUUUUUAGUUAAAAAGCUAAAAUAAAUUUAAAAGACGAGAAGACCCUAUAGAGUUUAAUAGUUUUUAAUUUAAAAUAUUUAUAUAAAAUUUUAAUAUUUAAUUUUAUAAAUUAUUUUGUUGGGGUGAUAAAAAAAUAAAAAAAACUUUUUUUUUAAAUUUUCAUAGAUAAGUGAAUAAUUGAUCCAUUUUAAUGAUUAUAAGAAAAAAUUACCUUAGGGAUAACAGCGUAAUAUUUUUUUUUAGUACAAAUAAAAAAAAAAGUUUGCGACCUCGAUGUUGGAUUAAGAUAAAAUUUAAAUGCAAAAGUUUAAAAUUUUGAUCUGUUCGAUCAUUAAAAUCUUACAUGAUCUGAG
rnacentral:rRNA from 1 species